AUUGAACGCUGGCGGCAGGCCUAACACAUGCAAGUCGAGCGAGAGGCGGACGGGUGAGUAAUGUAUGGGGAUUUGCCUGAUGGCGGGGGAUAACUACUGGAAACGGUGGAUAAUACCGCAUACCAUCAGAUGAACCCAUAUGGGAUUAGCUUGUAGGGGGGGUAACGGCUCACCUAGUCAACGAUCCCUCGUUGGUCUGAGAGGAUGAACAGCCACACUGGGACUGAGACACGGCCCAGACUCCUACGGGAGGCAGCAGUGGGGAAGUUUGGACAAGGGGCGCAAGCCUGAUGCAGCCAUGCCGCGUGUAUGAAGAAGGCCUUAGGGUUGUAAAGUACUUUCAGUGGGGAGGCGUUACCUACAGAAGAAGCACCGGCUAACUCCGUGCCAGCAGCCGCGGUAAUUC
rnacentral:rRNA from 1 species